rnacentral:misc_RNA from 1 species
CUAUUGAAUAUUUGAGUUCUUUAGAUGUUCCAGUGCACUGUAGGUCUGUUAAUAUUGAUGUUGUGGUGGCAUAGAAAAUGGGUCCAUUCCUUAUAAAAGAAGGCUUUUGGAGGAAUGGAAUUGUGCACCAUUCCAUUAACAUGAAUGAUUUUAUAUCCAUUGUUUGCCUGCAUAGCUAUUCCUUAUAAACAGCAUGAAUUAGAAGUUUGAGAAUACAGAUGGAAAGCGUCAUAUCUAGCUAGUUCAAUAGAUAAAAUGACUUUUUUCUUGGUCAAUUUGCAAACAUUCAGCCCAUAGUCUUGUGGGCAGUCUUCCUCCUACUGUUACACAUAUUUAGUCUAGUCAUACCUUCAUAAAAGUUCUGCUAUUUGUAUGAUUUAUUGCAUUAUGUUCACUUCCUUUCCUUUUUCAUUUAAAAAAAGGAAAAAACAAUAAGUUUCAACUUGGCUCUUCUACACUGGCAUCUUCAGUUUAUUCUAUUGAUUUAAAAAAAAAGAAAAACUUCCAUUUUAAUGAGUAUUUCCUUUAUUUGGCAAAAAGCAUUAAAAUAAUGGAGAGUGAUUAGCCCAUUUUUUUUAUUCCUUUGUUUAAUACAAGAAUCUUAUUAUCUUAGUUUGAGAGAGAAUAACUUUAUAAAAUCAGGUGGGUUUCUUGUUACUACUACUAGCGCAAGAUUACAAUUAGCGAGGAGUGAAAAUUGUACAAAAUAAGUGGAGAAACAAGAAGAGCUAGUUCCUUUAGUGGGAGCGA